rnacentral:rRNA from 5 species
UUAAAGGAAUUGACGGAAGGGCACCACCAGGAGUGGAGCCUGCGGCUUAAUUUGACUCAACACGGGAAAACUUACCUGGCCCGGACACUGGAAGGAUUGACAGAUUAAGAGCUCUUUCUUGAUUCAGUGGGUGGUGGUGCAUGGCCGUUCUUAGUUGGUGGAGCGAUUUGUCUGGUUAAUUCCGAUAACGAACGAGACUCUAGCCUACUAAAUAGGGGACCGAUCAAUUGUUGUCGGUCCGUCUUCUUAGAGGGACAAGCGGCUUUUAGCCGCACGAGACAGAGCAAUAACAGGUCUGUGAUGCCCUUAGAUGUCCGGGGCCGCACGCGCGCUACACUGAAGGAAGCAGCGUGCUCAUCGCUGUCCGGCAGGACUGCGUAACCCCUAUAACCUCCUUCGUGAUAGGGAUAGGGGCUUGUAAUUGUUCCCCUUGAACGAGGAAUUCCCAGUAAGCGCGAGUCAUAAGCUCGUGUUGAUUACGUCCCUGCCCUUUGUACACACCGCCCGUCGCUACUACCGAUUGAAUGAUUUAGUGAGGUCUUCGGACUGGCGCUCGGAGCGACCUUCGGGUUGCGCCGGCGUGCCGGAAAGAUGACCAAACUUGAU